rnacentral:rRNA from 1 species
GUCGAGCGAACAGAACAAGGAGCUUGCUCCUUUGACGUUAGCGGCGGACGGGUGAGUAACACGUGGGUAACCUACCUAUAAGAUGGGAUAACUUCGGGAAACCGGAGCUAAUACCGGAUAAUAUUUCGAACCGCAUGGUUCGAUAGUGAAAGAUGGUUUUGCUAUCACUUAUAGAUGGACCCGCGCCGUAUUAGCUAGUUGGUAAGGUAACGGCUUACCAAGGCGACGAUACGUAGCCGACCUGAGAGGGUGAUCGGCCACACUGGAACUGAGACACGGUCCAGACUCCUACGGGAGGC